CUCAGCUCGGAUUGGAGUCUGCAACCCGACUCCAUGAAGCUGGAUUCGCUAGUAAUCGCGCAUCAGCCACGGCGCGGUGAAUACGUUCCCGGGCCUUGUACACACCGCCCGUCAAGCCAUGGAAGCCGGGGGUGCCUGAAGUGCGCUGCCGCAAGGAGCGCCCUAGGGUAAAACCGGUGACUGGGGCUAAGUCGUAACAAGGUACC
rnacentral:rRNA from 1 species